GGGAGCGCAGGAUCCUGGGCUGUGUCCCCCGGUGCCCUGGGCUCCGGGGCCUGCGCUGCUGGAAUCGCGCUCCCAGGCUGCAGCUCCA
rnacentral:pre_miRNA from 1 species